GACGAACGCUGGCGGCGUGCCUAAUACAUGCAAGUAGAACGCUGAAGGAGGAGCUUGCUUCUCUGGAUGAGUUGCGAACGGGUGAGUAACGCGUAGGUAACCUGCCUGGUAGCGGGGGAUAACUAUUGGAAACGAUAGCUAAUACCGCAUAAUAGUAGAUGUUGCAUGACAUUUGCUUAAAAGGUGCAAUUGCAUCACUACCAGAUGGACCUGCGUUGUAUUAGCUAGUUGGUGAGGUAACGGCUCACCAAGGCAACGAUACAUAGCCGACCUGAGAGGGUGAUCGGCCACACUGGGACGGAGACACGGCCCAGACUCCUACGGGAGGCAGCAGUAGGGAAUCUUCGGCAAUGGACGGAAGUCUGACCGAGCAACGCCGCGUGAGUGAAGAAGGUUUUCGGAUCGUAAAGCUCGGUUGUAAGAGAAGAACGAGUGUGAGAGUGGAAAGUUCACACUGUGACGGUAUCUUACCAGAAAGGGACGGCUAACUACGUG
rnacentral:rRNA from 1 species